rnacentral:rRNA from 1 species
GACGAACGCUGGCGGCGUGCUUAACACAUGCAAGUCGAACGGAAAGGCCCUGCUUUUGUUGGUUUCUCGAUUGGCGAGCGGGUGAGUAACACGUGUGUAACCUCCCCUUGACUUUGGGAUAACUUCAGGAAACUCGGGCUAAUACCGGAUAGGAGCUCCUGCUCCAUGGUGGGGGUUGGAGAGUUUCGGCGGUUGGGGAUGGACUCGCGGCUUAUCCGCUUGUUUGGGUGGUAGUGGCGUUCCAAGGGUUUGACGGGUAGCCGGCAUGAGCGGUGGACCGGCCACAAGGGGACUGAGGUAGGGAGCAGAAUGCUACGGGACGCAGAAGUGGGGAACAUUGCACAAUGGCCGGACGCGUGAGGCAGAAACGCUCGGAGCGGGAUGACGUGCUUCGAGGUGUAAACAGCUUUCGCAUGUGACGAAGAGUGAGUGACGGUAAUGGGUAAAGAAGCACCGGCUAACUACGUG